GGGGGGCGGGGGAGUGGCCUCGCCGCUGCUGGAAGGAUCUGGAGCCCCCCCUGGCAGAGCUGAGCUUUGUUACCUAUUAAGUAAUUAGCUGUAGAAACGCUCACCUUUCCCAUUAAACACGCUUGAAAGGCGUGGGGCGCUGAAGUGGCUGGAGGCAGAACGAACCCGAAUGAGGAAAGUUAAAAGGAAUUAGGAUUCGGUUACAAUGGAGGGCCAGAUUAUCAAGGAACACGAGGAAAGAUGAGUGGCGGUUUAUACAGCGGGUUCACGAUUUAUCCCAAGACAUCACAGAAUUCGAAGCAGGAGGAGAUGGACAGGGAUACACCAGAGAGAUGCAACAACCGCUAUACCAAACCUCCAGAACACGGGCAACGACCAGACGCAGCUUAAAGGAGAAGUCGCAACUAUUUCUGGUUACUCAAGGCCUCUGUUUUUCAAUCCCCCCCCUCCCGGGACUGGGGAUUUAGCUCAGUGAUAGAGCACUUGCCUAGCAAGCCCAAGGCCCUGGGUUCGGUCCCCAGCUCAAAAAAAAAAAAAAAAAAAAAAAAGAAACAAUCCCCCCCUCCCAUUUCCCCCAAGAGUGACACAUACUUAAAAAAAAAAAAACAACUUA